GACGAACGCUGGCGGCGUGCUUAACACAUGCAAGUCGAACGGAAAGGCCCUGCUUUUGUGGGGUGCUCGAGUGGCGAACGGGUGAGUAACACGUGAGUAACCUGCCCUUGACUUUGGGAUAACUUCAGGAAACUGGGGCUAAUACCGGAUAGGAGCUCCUGCUGCAUGGUGGGGGUUGGAAAGUUUCGGCGGUUGGGGAUGGACUCGCGGCUUAUCAGCUUGUUGGUGGGGUAGUGGCUUACCAAGGCUUUGACGGGUAGCCGGCCUGAGAGGGUGACCGGCCACAUUGGGACUGAGAUACGGCCCAGACUCCUACGGGAGGUAGCAGUGGGGAAUAUUGCACAAUGGGCGGAAGCCUGAUGCAGCAACGCCGCGUGCGGGAUGACGGCCUUCGGGUUGUAAACCGCUUUCGCCUGUGACGAAGCGUGAGUGACGGUAUGGGUAAAGAAGCACCGGCUAACUACGUG
rnacentral:rRNA from 1 species